GCCACUGAUGCCUUGGGAAGGCUGAGCUGGAGCAGAGACUGGGCAGAGCUGGAGAAUAAAGCAGGGAUUUCUGGAAAGGCCUUUAAGGACACACCUUAGGCAGGACAAGAGCCUGGCCAGGGCUGCACCCAAGGUGGACCCAAAAUGGACCCAAAAUGGUCACAAAAUCGAUGACCCAUCACGAGGUCUCACUCUGAUAAGUUUUGCUCCAUUUGCACACUGGGGUUGAAUUGUCCAAUUCCAGCUCCAGGCUGGGAGGUCCCAUCCUUCUUGUUCCUCCCUCAGCCCCCCUUGUUUGUGCUUUGGGGCUGAAAGUUGUCCUUGGUGUGCAGCAGGAGAAGGAUUUGUUUUGUGUCCCUGCUGUGUGCAGAGCUGAGUGUGAGCUCAGAGCUGCACCCUGGGCACCACAGAGCCUGGAAUACAGGGAAUUAAAACUUCAGGCCUCAGCACUGUGUGUGUCACAGUGGAAGAUGUCACACAGUGCCCUGUCCCUGGUCUCUGCUGUCCCUGCAUGAGCUCCUGGAGCAGACAGUUCCCUCCCCUGAGCUGUCCCUCUGAGUGCAGUCCCUGCGCUCUGCAGACACCUCCCCUUGUGCUCUCACUCUUCCCUUCCACCUCUGCUGGCACUCGGUCCCAGAACGCCACCGAGUUUGUCAGGUGUGAUUAACCUCCUGUCUGCUCCUUUCAUCUCCCCCAGACAGUUUGGGGAUAAAAGAUGUGCUUAGGAUGAAAGGAAGAGCAGCACCACACAAAAAGGCUCACAGAGCUCAGCAAGAGGAGUGGGAUCUUUAAUCCCAGCAGGAGCAUUUCUGUGAGUGAAAACGUGACCAGCGGGGCACUGCCUCCAGCACAGCCCACAGGAGCAGCACCACCAGUCCCUUGCACCAGUCUGGGCUUGGCUGCCUCAUCAAAUGCAGGGACAGUGGCGUGGCUCUUGCAGGAACUCGAAGCAAUUCCCAGGGAUGCUCCUGAGGCUGCAGCCCCAUCCCAGGGGAUGUUCACAAGGCCAUGCACAAAAUAAGUAUGAAAAUCGUGGAUACUUCAAAUGAAAAUAAAUGGAGAUAUUUUCUCAGUGUGGGAGUGGUGCCCUGGACACUCUUCUGGAAAGUUCCUGCUCACUCUCCAUGGGGGAUUUUGGCUGCUGUGGGUGAAAAUCUGAUCCUGGAGGGUGCUUGCUGUAAACAAAUGCAUCAUUCCAUUUAUGGUGGUUAAUGUGAGUAACUGAGUCCUGGAACAAGCCCUAAAUUGUGGAUUUGAAACAAACACGUCUGCAGCAGGUUGCUGUGGCCCUGGCUGUCAGAGUGUGGGGGUUUGCUGGCGAUAGUUCCUGUUCCAAGCCAUAAAAAGCUCUCACGGAAGGAAGAGGCUGCACCCUGAGCUCUCCCGAGGGCUGGCGCGUGGAGCAGCAUCCUCAGAGCCUGGAGAGGGCACAGGGACACUCUCACUGUUAAUAAAGGGUUCUUGGAAACCUCUCCAACACAGCUGAAGAGCAAAAAUUACUUCAAGUGCUCCCAGACUCCACUCAGGGGGCUCAGCUGAGACCAAGAGCUCCCGGGCUCUCCAUGUGGAGGCACCAGCAGAGUGUUCCAACAGCACCAGGCUUUAAGGGCAGAGCCAGAUCCAGAAAGACAAUGUGCUUUGCCUUGGAUCAUGGUUAUUCUCAGAGUGAGAGCUUUCCCUGCUCACCACUGCUGCCCACGAGUGGGAAUGCCUUCCUCGGGAUCCAGGGUCCCUUCCCACUCCUGUUGAGCUCAAUUCUCCAGAGGAUAACUGAGGGGCUCACUGGCUGGGGCUGGAGGAGACCCUAAAGAUGGUCUGGAUCCAUCAUGGGCAGGGAUCCUUCCAUGAGCAGGGGACAAGGACAGGGGACAGAGUCAGUGACAAGGAUCCUUCACCUGGAGCAGAACGGGAAUGCUGCAGCUCCACAUCCACACAGCUCUGUGUGACACCAAUGGAUGAAACACGAAUGGAAACCAUGAGGAGUUGAGCAGAUUUUAAAGGGGAAGGUAAUCCCAGGCCUUUGUGGGCCGGAGCUGUUUCUGUGGCACCAUUCCCAGAGCUGUUCUUCUUCCCGAGGCUGAGCUGAGGCUCCAGCAGGCUCUACUGCAAAACCCCAGACUGAGCCUUGUAUUAAAACCAAUCCCCCAUAUGGUGGCAGCCUUUUGAAAGAGAUGGGGAAAAACUCCCUCCCUUGAGUGUUUGUUUUAAUGCAGUCAGAAAGAAAAACAGAGCCUGUGGAAUGGCUCUUCUCAGGUCCAUGGGGAAAAAUGGGCAUCUCUGAAGCACUUCCACAGACACCCGGGAGAGGGAGAGGCUCUCUAGUUCCCUGCUAACAAGAUUAUUUCAAUUCUUGACCUCAUAUCAGGACAGGAGUGGUUUUAAUCAUUGCCAUCACUUCUCAAGUGCUUACAACAGUCAUAGUCUUAGGUAAGUAUAAUUUUUGCCUUUCUAUAAUAUUCUUUUAUAUUUUCAGAGUAGAACUACAUUUCAGGCUAAGACAAGAGGUGAAAUUUCAAAUGGGCACUGCAAACAUGUGGUUUGAAUGUACAGAGAGAUGUAAGGACACAAACCCAUAAACACAUAACCAAAAUCAACCAGAUGUGUCUGCAUGCACAGACAGAAAAACACCAGCUUCAUCAGCAAGGUGAAGGCUUUGUGUGAUUCCCUCUGGAGAGCUGCCAAUGUAACAAAACAGAAUCAAUAUUAUAAAUACAGGACCAAUACAAUAACUGCAGGUCCCACUUCUGUUAUCUGUGUUGUUGUUAAGCCUCAGCAGAGGCUGCAGGUGAGCUUGGAGGAGUUUGUUCCUCUUCCCUGAGCCGUUUCUGCUGCUAUUCAGCAAUUUCCAAAAUUAGGUGUUCAGCAGAGUCCUCCUUGUUCCCAGCAGCUUUUCAGGAGCAAGGAGCCCUGUGCUGGCAGCUCCUCUGCUCUCUGCUGCUCCAGGCAGGGAACAGCUCUGUGCUGGAGAUUUAAACCCUGGAAAUCAGGGCCACGAAUGUGAAAGCUGAGAGUGGUAGGUUUGGAUUAAAGGUUGGGAUGAAAUCCUUCCCUGUGAGGGUGGGCAGCCCUGGCACAGGGUGCCCAGAGCAGCUGUGGCUGCCCCUGGAUCCCUGGCAGUGCCCAAGGCCAGGUUGGACACUGGGGCUGGAGCAGCCUGGGACAGUGGGAGGUGUCCCUGCCAUGGCAGGGUGGCACAAAUGAUCUUUAAUGUCCCUUCCACCCCAGACCAGUGUGAGAUUCUGUGAACACCCUGAGUUGAAAGGGACUCCCAAGGGUCACCAAGUCCAGCUCCUGGCCCUGCACAGCCCAGCAGUGAUGGGCCCCACCCAGGGAAUGAUUCUUGUCCUGGCCCCCUCUGCCCCUCCUUGUGCUCAGCCCAAAGUCCCCUCUGUGCCCAGGGGAAGGGAUUUGGUUUCUUGGCCUCUCUCCACCCUUGGCUGGUGGAAUUGCAGUGUCUGUGCUGAGAGAGCCCCAGCCAGCUUAUUGUUUUAGAAAUAAAGAUAUUAGCAUACAAAUGACUCUGGGAGGUGUUUCUUCUCAUUAGAGAAUGGAGAUCAUUUGAUAAAAGAUGCAGCGUGCCUCAUCUGUAAAAGGGUUCAGCAGCUUUGUCUUGUCUGCACGGCUCUCUCAGCACGAGAGCUCGGGGAGUGCAGAGGGAAAGCUCAGGAGACAAAUGGCUCAUGACACUCGGGUUACCUUUACUGUGCAAGGUGGGCGUGAAAUGUUUUAUGGGGAGACAAAAAAGAUGAUGGGCAAUUAACUACAAACUCAUGCAGCAGGUUUAUCAUAUGCUCAGCUCAUCCAUCUGUGUCUCAGUCUCCAGCAGACUCAUGAGUUUCAUCAAGAAAACCAUUUUCAGACUGGCAGAGCAAAACAGAUCGGUUUUGCCUGCGAGCUCCUCCGAGGUUUGCAGAGCUUUUAUCAUAUGUUUAUGGUUUACAGAUGCAAAAUACACAUGUAGGAGAGGAGGAGGGGGCAGACGCCUCUCCCCUUGCAGGGGGUGCCUUUUGAAAUAUUUCUCACCCGGGGAGCAGUUCUGCAGCUGCUCCUGUGCAUGUGGAUGGCUUUACUCAGCUUUAGCAAUGGAAUCCGUGGGGGUGAGGUGCUGAACACGGUGUGGAACUGCACUGAAAUUCCAGCCUCUGUCCUGGGGUGCUGAAAGAACGGCCCAGGGAAUGGGGAGAGGAAGGAUGAGCUGGUGGAUAAGGACUGAACUGGUCUGGAAAAUGCUGGUGCUGCUUUUGCCUCUGCUGCAGAAGGUCUGUGUGACCCCCAGCCAAUCACUUGGUCUGGCUGUAACUCAGUUUUGGACUGUGAAGUCACAGAAUCAUGGAAUGGUUUGGGUUGGAGGGACCUUAAACCCCACUCAGUGCCAGCCCUGCCAUGGCAGGGACACCUCCCACUGUCCCAGGCUGCUCCAGCCUGGCCUUGGGCACUGCCAGGGAUCCAGGGGCAGCCACAGCUGCUCUGGGCUCCCUGUGCCAGGGCUGCCCACCCUCACAGCCAGGAAUUCCUUCCCCAUAUCCCACCCAUCCCUGUGAAUCAGUUCCCCUUUGUCCUGUCACUCCAUGCUUGUGUAAAAAGUCUUUCUCCAUCUCCUGUUGACCCCCUUCAAGUCAGAAUAGUUAUUUAUUCGAUCUGUUUGUGCUAAAUCAGUUAAUACUUCACAAUUGCCCCGUCAAUAUUAUGCCAAUGAAUAUCUUAUUGGAGACAUUUAAGUACUAAUCUUAUAGGAAUAAUUUUUUCCUUAACUAAUUAGUUGGACACAGUCUUGCCAGAUUGGUUAAAAAAGGAUAUUGAUUUUCAGAAUCAAAGGUAAUUAUUUUUAUCCUCUGACUCUUCGAGGGCCUCUUCCCUUUUCAGCCUCUCAAUGUAGCUGCUGCACGAAAAGCACACAGCUCCUCCCUGGGGAGGGAAUCGGUGCAGGGGGAGCUGGGGACUGAGCAGUGGCACAGAGCCCUGGCAUGGUGUCCCUGUCCCUGUCCCUGCCUCAGGGGAGGCUGCUGAGCCCAGGGCACCGGGGAAUGAGCUGGGUAAAGAACGGAGUGUGCAGGUCCCCGGGUCUGCCACGGGGUCACGGGUGCACAAACAGCUCCCCACUGCUCCCAGCUCUGCUUUCCCAGGCCGUGCUCCACUUUCCUUGCAGGGAAACCACUCCGACAAAGCCGUGCCCUAAUUCUUUAUUAAUUUGCCAAAUACAUGUACGUUUUUAUUGCUUUAGAGUGCUGCUGCUGCUGGAACAGUGUGCAGCUCUGAGGCUGCAGCCAGUGAAAUUCUGCCUUUCAAUCCCCUCCCUGGCCACUGCACGCUGCUGGAGGAAGGGAACUCCUGGAGGAAGAUAUUGGCCUUGUGGACUUAGCUGACAGUCCAUAAAUCUCAGUUUUGUCAGCCCAGAGAGGUGCCAUAAAGAGAGCAGAUUAAAGGAGAUUAGUUCUGCCAAGUGGCCUGAAGAGAGGAUUUACAGCUCCCCUGUGCCUGCCCCGGGGCUGGGAUGGGGCUCCGAGGUCGGGAGAAUCCUCCUGCUCCUCUGGCACUGACACCAGAGCUGCUGUCCUGGGGGCAGGGGCAGGGAAGGAGCAGGGGAGGCUGGGCCGUUCUUCCAUCUCUGUUAUUUUUGGAAGAGGCUCAUUGCUGAUUUUUGUCACCACGUUUGCAAUCUGUGGAAUCAAACGCUGCUGGAAUGGGUUGGGUUGGGUGGGGAGGGACCUCAAAGCUGAUCCCGUUCCACCCUGCCCUGGCAGGGACCCUCCCUCCGUGCCCAGGGGAUGGUGACCGAUCCCUCAGGACCCUCACGGGAUGCCCAGGACAGCCAGGGAGGCAGAGGAGGAGGAGGAGGAGAGCUUACCAGCACCACCAGUUCAGGCACCAGUCAUCAACUGGGUUUGCCUUAGAGCAUCCCAAAAUCACUGCUGCAUUUGGAGGCUGUGGUAUCCUGGAAUCUGGAGACCAAGAAAGCUGUGGAAAAUUCAGAUUCCCUUUGGGAAUGACAAUGAGGUGUCAGCCCUGGGUUUCUGCUGGCUCAUAAAAGCUUCUCAAGUUCAUGGCUUUGUUUCCCUGGAUUCACACAGGAGCACCCAGGAAGGGUUAAAUACAGCCCCUGCCAGAAAACACCUGGGAAAAUGGGAUAAAAGAGCCAGGAAUUCUGAAGGGAUGAGGGAAGGGAGAGCUUUUACUGGAGAGUCCCAGAGGGAGCGAGGGCUAUCACAAAUUUGCUGUAUUGAACGUGGGUUUAGAGCUGGCAGAGCAGAGGAGCUUUAAUCCCUUGGCUCAGAGCAAGAGCCAUUAACCCAUGGAGCCAGUCCCAGUCAGGUGAGACAAAAUGUGCUUUAUUCCCUCCCUGCUCCACAGAAAGGCAGGAAAACCUUCUCCUUUGAUGGGCAGGCUUUCAUCACGCCUCGUGUGAUGCACCUGAGCUGUUUGUCUGCAUUCCUAAGGAAGGAAAUAAAGGCAUCUGCUACAAUAUAACCUGAAUUUUGCAUGGGUAAAAUGCCUUCCAUCGUGGUUUUCUCUCUGAUUUUCAACAGCAAUUUCCUAUUUUCCAGUAUAAAUGCAGAUAUUUGAUAAGUCCUGAUAAUGGGAUGCUGCCAAUCUGUCAGGGUAAUGAGUUCUCUGCAGUCUGGAAGGUGCCACUGGGGUUCUUAUUUUGAUCACAGGAUGCUACAGAGAGAAAACCUGCUGCAGAAAGGAACUGUGAGCCUGUGGGAGAGCACCUUUCCCAAAUUCCUGCUUCCCUCUAAUAUUUUUUGUUAAUUCUUUGAAAAAUCCUGUUCUACGUUAUUUUAAAAAGGGAUACAAGGUGAGGGUUUGGAACU